rnacentral:rRNA from 1 species
AGUGAACGCUGGCGGUAGGCCUAACACAUGCAAGUCGAACGGCAGCACAGUAAGAGCUUGCUCUUACGGGUGGCGAGUGGCGGACGGGUGAGGAAUACAUCGGAAUCUACUUUUUCGUGGGGGAUAACGUAGGGAAACUUACGCUAAUACCGCAUACGACCUACGGGUGAAAGCAGGGGAUCUUCGGACCUUGCGCGAUUGAAUGAGCCGAUGUCGGAUUAGCUAGUUGGCGGGGUAAAGGCCCACCAAGGCGACGAUCCGUAGCUGGUCUGAGAGGAUGAUUAGCCACACUGGAACUGAGACACGGUCCAGACUCCUACGGGAGGCAGCAGUGGGGAAUAUUGGACAAUGGGCGCAAGCCUGUUCCAGCCAUACCGCGUGGGUGAAGAAGGCCUUCGGGUUGUAAAGCCCUUUUGUUGGGAAAGAAAAGCAGCAGGUUAAUACCCCGCUGUUCUGACGGUACCCAAAUAAUAAGCACCGGCUAACUUCGUG